CGGCAACCAGUCCAGAUGAGGGUAAAUCAGUAGGAAAAUGGAGGGGAAUGCAUUGGUGGAAAGGUGAAGGACAGAAGUGGAGUUGAAGCAAAACCAGAUUCUCACUCUACGCAAAAGACCAGCGUGCCUCUCUCCCCAGUUCAGAGCCAGCAAGAGCCCCACUAACACCACCACCCGCUUGGUACCUGAAAGAACUGACACAAAGCACACGCAAGGACGUGGAGGAAAGCAGGAGUUAAACAGUCAACAAAAAAAAGCUGAAGAAGGUUUGGGACUGGGAAGAUGCAGAUUUAGAAAAAUAACAUUAUGAAAAUGGGCACCCUUGAAGAACAUUCUGUGCCCCUCGUCCCCCUCACCUUAUUUAUUCCAUCACCAAAUAAAGUCACAGCUGUCGG
rnacentral:lncRNA from 1 species